CAGCCGCGCGGUAAUACGAAGGGGGCUAGCGUUGCUCGGAAUGACUGGGCGUAAAGGGCGCGUAGGCGGUUUAUACAGUCAGAUGUGAAAUUCCUGGGCUCAACCUGGGGACUGCAUUUGAUACGUAUGGACUUGAGUGGAGAAGAGGGUCGUGGAAUUUCCAGUGUAGAGGUGAAAUUCGUAGAUAUUGGAAAGAACACCGGUGGCGAAGGCGGCGACCUGGUCUUUAACUGACGCUGAGGCGCGAAAGCGUGGGGAGCAAACAGGAUUAGAUACCCCGGUAGUCCCUGUCUCUUAUACA
rnacentral:rRNA from 1 species